rnacentral:lncRNA from 1 species
AUCAGCUUUUAAAAAAUACUGGUUUUCAGGAAAUAAAUGACUAGUGCAUAGAAGCAGGUGUCUUUACACGGAGAAUCGACAGGCUGUAAUUUAGCUAAGCUGCCUGCAGCCUCCUUCUAAGAUUCUGGAAAUUUAGGUUGAGGAACUACAGUCUACCAGAGGAAGAAGAACCCUUCCUAGUGGAAAAGCGGUUUUAAAUGUAGGCACAAGGUUCGUGUGACUUACCAAUUGCAAAACCAACUCCAAAGUUCGGAGCUAUGAGUCCAUAAAUGUUUUUUGCAAAUGGAAUCUGUAAGAGGAAAUAAACAUUAUGCUAAAAUAACAAGAGAUCCAACUCUAAAUCAUCUCGGAAAGUCUUGAACUUGUGUUUUCUCUGAGCGUGGUAUGCCUGUUCCCUUCUGAAGAAAACAGGAGGAAGAAGGGUGGGGUUUGUGAAGAACCGGACCCUCCAAAUCUUUAAAAGUCAAAGCUUGAAACGAGUUUUAUGACCACCAUGAAAAACUUGUCACCGGCAUAUGUGAAAGAUCAGCCUAGUCCACCCUCAAGUUUUGACAAGAACAAGUAGGCCUCAUGAGGGAUGGAUAUUGGCCAUUGGUAGAAGAGAUUUUAUUCUAGAAAAACAUCUUGCUAUUGUUUCAGGUUGGUUGUCCUGAAGUGUUUAAGACACUGUCAAGCUUAAGAUGAUGCAGGGGAAAAGUUAAACUGUGAAAUAAAACAUUUUAAAUAAUUUCUGACAUAAAAUGAAAAUACACUCCUUGGAAAGUCUUGUCCAAACAUUUUUAAGAUGAUAAAAAAUUAGAAUAAAAUGAAAGCUGUAAUAAAACAUCAACAAACUCAAACGUAAAA